AUAACCCUCCCUCUUUCACAUUCUUCUCCUCCAUCACAUUCUCAUUCACUCACUCCUUAUCAUCACCAAACCCAUAUCUCCCUCUCCCUCUCACUCUACCACUCAAUAAACUAAAACACCCUUUAUUUUCUUUACAAAGCAAAUGCUUUGGCUCUCCAAAGCAGGAAGAAUACCAUUUUGGGAAGCUAUGUUUUUUGUGGGGAAUGUUGUCUGGCUCGAGGACUCUUUCAUCUUGGUCAAUACUUUUGAUCAAGUAGUGUAUAGUGUUGUCGGACCAGGCUUCAUUCCCCUCAAU